CCUACGGGAGGCAGCAGUGAGGAAUAUUGGUCAAUGGCCGUAAGGCUGAACCAGCCAAGUCGCGUGAAGGAAGAAGGAUCUAUGGUUUGUAAACUUCUUCUAUAGGGGAAUAAAGGUAUCCACGUGUGGAUAUUUGCAUGUACCCUAUGAAUAAGCAUCGGCUAACUCCGUGCCAGCAGCCGCGGUAAUACGGAGGAUGCGAGCGUUAUCCGGAUUUAUUGGGUUUAAAGGGUGCGUAGGUUGUUUUUUAAGUCAGCGGUGAAAGUUUGUGGCUCAACCAUAAAAUUGCCGUUGAAACUGGCAGACUUGAGUGUGUUUGAGGUAGGCGGAAUGCGUGGUGUAGCGGUGAAAUGCAUAGAUAUCACGCAGAACUCCGAUUGCGAAGGCAGCUUACUAAGCCAUAACUGACACUGAAGCACGAAAGCGUGGGGAUCAAACAGGAUUAGAUACCCCAGUAGUC
rnacentral:rRNA from 1 species